rnacentral:rRNA from 1 species
UAGCAUAUCAAUAAGCGCAGGAAAAGAAACCAACAGGGAUUGCCUCAGUAACGGCGAGUGAAGCGGCAACAGCUCAAAUUUGAAAUCUGGCCUCUCGGGGUCCGAGUUGUAAUUUGUAGAGGAUGUUUCGGGUACCGCCUCGGUUUAAAUUUCUUGGAACAGAAUGUCAAAGAGGGUGAGAAUCCCGUCUUGGACCGGUGGUAGGGCCUAUGUGAAACUCCUUCGACGAGUCGAGUUGUUUGGGAAUGCAGCUCAAAAUGGGUGGUAAAUUUCAUCUAAAGCUAAAUAUUGGCCAGAGACCGAUAGCGCACAAGUAGAGUGAUCGAAAGAUGAAAAGCACUUUGAAAAGAGAGUUAAACAGUAUGUGAAAUUGUUGAAAGGGAAGCGCUUGCAACCAGACUUGAGCGCGGCGGUUCCCCCUUGCUUCUGCUUGGGUUACUCCGCCGUGUCCAGGCCAACAUCGGUUCUGGGGGUCGGUCAAAGGCUCUGGGAAUGUAUCUACCCACGGGUAGACUUAUAGACCAGGGUGUCAUGCGACCUCCCGGGACCGAGGAACGCGCUUCGGCUCGGAUGUUGGCGUAAUGGUUGUCAGCGACCCGUCUUGAAACACGGACCAAGGAGUCUAACAUCUAUGCGAGUGUUUGGGUGUCAAACCCGGAACGCGGAAUGAAAGUGAACGGAGGUAGGAAGCUUCGGCUGCACUAUCGACCGAUCCUGAAGUUUACGGAUGGAUUUGAGUAAGAGCAUAGCUGUUGGGACCCGAAAGAUGGUGAACUAUGCCUGAAUAGGGUGAAGCCAGAGGAAACUCUGGUGGAGGCUCGCAGCGGUUCUGACGUGCAAAUCGAUCGUCAAAUUUAGGUAUAGGGGCGAAAGACUAAUCGAACCAUCUGGUAGCUGGUUCUGCGA